AGAGGGGGUAUUAUGGUCUCCUACUAUCAUUGUUUUGUUGUAAAUUUCUCCCCUUAGAUCUGUUAAAUGUUCGCUUUAUAUAGUUAGAUAAUUCUAUGUUGGGUAAGUAAAUAUUUACCAAUGUCACAUCUUCUUGUUUGACUUUUUAAUUACAGUAUUUGUUUGAAAGACAAAGAGGAACAUUAUCUAAUGAUAAGAGUCUAUUUUCUAAGUAUAGCUACUUUUGGUUUCCAUUUUUUAUGAAAUACCUGUUCUAUCCCUUAACUUUCAGCUUAUGUCCUUACAUUUGAGUUGAGUCUAUUGUAAGCAGCAUAUAAAUGAGUCUUCAUCACUACUUUAAAAAGUAUUCUUUUAAUUUUUUUGAAGUGUAAUUAACAUGAUGUUACAUUAGUUUCAGGUGUACAAAAUGAUUCAGCAAUUGUAUACAUUUCUUAUUGCUCAACAAGAAAGUGAAUUAGGCUUCCUGCUAACGGGUACCUCCAAGAGUCCCAUUCCUGCUGGCAGACAGAAGGCAUCCAGGGCCUGAUUCAGCACAUUUGUGGUAAGAACUUUGAGCCAAAUUAAGAGCCUCCUUUUGAAAUGGGGGCCAGAGGGGACUUCCAAAUGCUUUCCUUGAGGUUGCUCAGUGUCCUUAGCUAAUUAUACCGUCCUCCCAAAUAUGUAAAAGAGGAAGUAGAUCCAUGCAAAAAGAGUGGGAUUCCCCUUUUGGUUCGCAGUGGUUUUUAAAAACUUUAUUCUAAACAUAAUAUUCAUUCUUCCCCAAUUCUUCUGCUUUAAUCCUUCCUGACUCUUUCC
rnacentral:lncRNA from 1 species